rnacentral:rRNA from 1 species
GUUUGAUUCUGGCUCAGAUUGAACGCUGACGGGAUGCUUUACACAUGCAAGUCGAACGGCAGUACGACUUCGUCUGGUGGCGCGAGUGGCGAACGGGGUGAGUAAUGUAUCGGAACGUGCCUAGUAGCGGGGGAUAACUACGCGAAAGCGUAGCUACUGGCCGUACGCCCUUCGGGGGAAAGCGGGGACCUUUCGGGCCUCGCACUAUUAGAGCGGCCGAUAUCGGAUUAGCUAGUUGGUGGGGUAACGGCUCACCAAGGCGACGAUCCGUAGCUGGUUUGAGAGGACGACCAGCCACACUGGGACUGAGACACGGCCCAGAUCACGGAGGCAGCAGUGGGGAAUUUUGGACAAUGGGGAACUCUGAUCCAGCCAUCCCGCGUGUGCGAUGAAGGCCUCGCUAGAAGCACUUUUUGCGGAAAGAAACGGCACGGAUAAUACCCCGUGCAACUGACGGUACCUGGCAGAAUAAGCACCGGCUAACUACAGCCAGCAGCCGCGGUAAUACGUAGGGUGCAAGUUGCUUAACGCGAAUUACUGGGCGUAAAGCGUGCGCAGGCGGUUCGAAAGAAAGAUGUGUGAAAUCCCAGAGCUUAACUGGAACUGCAUUUUUAACUACCGAGCUAGAGUGUGUCGAGGGAGGUGGAAUUCCGCGUGUAGCAGUGAAAUGCGUAGGAUAUGCGGAGGAACACCGAUGGCGAAGGCAGCCUCCUGGGAUAACACUGACGCUCAUGCACGAAAGCGGGGGAGCAAACAGAUUAGAUACUCCCGGUAGUCCACGCCCUAAACGAUGUCAACUAGCUGUUGGGGCCUUCGGCCUGCAGCGCAGCUUAACGCGUGAAGUUGACCGCCUGGGAGUACGGUCGCAAGAUUAAAAACUCAAAGGAAUUGAUUGGGACCCGCACAAGCGGUGGAUGAUGUGGAUUAAUUCGAUGCAACGCGAAAAACCUUACCUACUCCUUGACAUGUCUGGAAUCCCCGAAGAGAUUUGGGAGUGCUCGCAAGAGGUCCGGAAACACAGGUGCUGCAUGGCUGUCGUCAGCUCGUGUCGUGAGAUGUUGGGUUAAGUCCUGCAACGAGCGCAACCUCUUGGUCAUUAGUUGCUACGAAAGGGCACUCCAAUGAGACUGCCGGUGACAAACCGAGGAAGGGGUGGGGAUGACGUCAAGUCCUCAUGGCCCUGGCGGGCAGGGCUUUCCACACGUCAUACAACGGUCGACAGAGGGUCGCCAACCCGCGAGGGGGAGCCAAUCCCAGAAACCCGAUCGUAGUCCGGAUCGCAGUCUGCAACUCGACUGCAGGAAGCUCGGGAACGUGCUGGCACUGCGGAUCAGCAUGUCGCGGUGAAUACGUUCCUGGUCUUGUACACACCGCCUGCGGUCAAGCACCAUGGGAGUGGGUUUCACCAGGCGUAGUUAGGGCCUAUCCGUAAGGAGGGCGAUUACCACGGUAGGAUUCAUGACUGGGGUGAAGUCGUAACAAAGGUA